rnacentral:rRNA from 1 species
GACGAACGCUGGCGGCGUGCCUAAUACAUGCAAGUCGAACGCAGUGGGGACGGGUGUGUAACACGUGGGUAACCUCCCCAUCAGAGGGGAUAACACUUGGAAACAGGUGCUAAACCGAUACUGAUGGAUGGACCCGCGGUGCAUUAGCUAGUUUGGGAGGUAACGGCUCACCAAGGCCACGAUGCAUAGCCGACCGUAGAGGGUGAUCGGCCACACUGGGACGGAGACCGGGCCCAGACUCCUACGGGAGGCAGCAUUAGGGAAUCUGCGGCAAUGGACGAAAGUCUGACCGAGCGACUCCGCGUGAGGGAAGAAGGUGUUCGGAUCGUAAAACUCUGUUGUUAGAGAAGCGGUAUCUAACCAGAAAGCCACGGCUAACUACGUGCCAGCCGCCGCGGUAAUUC